rnacentral:rRNA from 1 species
UACGUAGGGGGCGAGCGUUGUCCGGAGUUACUGGGCGUAAAGGGCAUGCAGGCGGUCGGACGCGUUUCGGGUGACAGCGGGUGGCUUCACUACCCGAGUGGUCGAGAGACGGUUUGACUUGAGGACGCGAGAGGGACUCGGAAUUCCGGGUGGAGUGGUGAAAUGCGUAGAGAUCCGGAGGAACACCGAAGGCGAAGGCAGAGUCCUGGCGCGUGACUGACGCUGAGGUGCGAAAGCCAGGGGAGCGAACGGG